GACGAACGCUGGCGGCGUGCUUAACACAUGCAAGUCGAACGGAAAGGCCCUGCUUUUGUGGGGUGCUCGAGUGGCGAACGGGUGAGUAACACGUGAGUAACCUGCCCUUGACUUUGGGAUAACUUCAGGAAACUGGGGCUAAUACCGGAUAGGAGCUCCUGCUGCAUGGUGGGGGUUGGAAAGUUUCGGCUGUUGGGGAUGGACUCGCGGCUUAUCAGCUUGUUGGUGGGGUAGUGGCUUACCAAGGCUUUGACGGGUAGCCGGCCUGAGAGGGUGACCGGCCACAUUGGGACUGAGAUACGGCCCAGACUCCUACGGGAGGCAGCAGUGAGGAAUAUUGCACAAUGGGCGGAAGCCUGAUGCAGCAACGCCGCGUGCGGGAUGACGGCCUUCGGGUUGUAAACCGCGUUCGCCUGUGACGAAGCGUGAGUGACGGUAAUGGGUAAAGAAGCACCGGCUAACUACGUG
rnacentral:rRNA from 1 species